GCACCAAGGGCUAAGCUAUUGUGUGUUGUCUCUUCGUGUACAGGAGCCAGAGUAAAUGCCAAAGACAACAAGUGGCUCACUCCUCUGCACCGGGCCUUGGCUUCCUGCAGUGAGGAGGCUGUCCAGGUGUUAUUGAAACACUCUACUGACGUGAACGCCAGGGACAAGAACUGGCAAACGCCGCUCCACAUCGCUGCGGCCAAUAAGGCAGUCCGCUGUGCCGAGGCCCUGGUCCCUCUCCUCAGC